CCUACGGGAGGCAGCAGUGAGGAAUAUUGGUCAAUGGGCGGAAGCCUGAACCAGCCAAGUAGCGUGCGGGAUGAAGGUACAGAGUAUCGUAAACCUCUUUUGUCAGGGAACAAAGGCGGGGACGUGUCCCCGGAUGAGUGUACCUGAAGAAAAAGCAUCGGCUAACUCCGUGCCAGCAGCCGCGGUAAUACGGAGGAUGCGAGCGUUAUCCGGAUUUAUUGGGUUUAAAGGGUGCGCAGGCGGUCUGUUAAGUCAGCGGUCAAAGCCCGGGGCUCAACCCCGGCCCGCCGUUGAAACUGGCAGUCUCGAGUUGGAGAGAAGUAUGCGGAAUGCGCGGUGUAGCGGUGAAAUGCAUAGAUAUCGCGCAGAACUCCGAUUGCGAAGGCAGCAUGCCGGCUCCACACUGACGCUGAGGCACGAAAGCGUGGGUAUCGAACAGGAUUAGAUACCCGAGUAGUC
rnacentral:rRNA from 1 species